rnacentral:rRNA from 1 species
CAGUAGCCGCGGGAAUACAGAGGGUGCGAGCGUUAAUCGGAUUUACUGGGCGCAAAGCGUGCGUAGGCGGCUUUUUAAGUCGGAUGUGAAAUCCCUGAGCUUAACUUAGGAAUUGCAUUCGAUACUGGGAAGCUAGAGUAUGGGAGAGGAUGGUAGAAUUCCAGGUGUAGCGGUGAAAUGCGUAGAGAUCUGGAGGAAUACCGAUGGCGAAGGCAGCCAUCUGGCCUAAUACUGACGCUGAGGUACGAAAGCAUGGGGAGCAAACAGGAUUAGAUACCCCCGUAGUCCCUGUCUCUUAUAC